GAACAUAGUAUUUUUCUUAGCUGGAGCAUUAGGACCAUGGAGAAGAAGUACAUCCAGUGUGGUGUAAUCAGACUGGCCAUAAAUACCUAUAAAUACAUUGCACAUUUAUUAUGAUAAAAUUGGAAUGAAAGUGAAGGAGAAAGGGUCAUGGGGGAGCCUGGAGCCUAUCCCAGGGAACUUGGGGCACAAGGCAGGGGACACUCUAGGCAGGAUUCCAAACCAUCACAGGGCACAGUCACACACCUCGGACAAUUUGGAAAUGACUACCAGCCUACAAUGUAUGUCCUUGGACUGGAGGAGGAAACUGGAGUACCUGGAGGAAGCCCUCAAAGCACAGGGAGAACAUGCAAGCUCUUUAGAAACAAGGCAGUGGUGGGAUUUGAACCCCCAACCCUGGAUGUACUAGGCAAAUGUGCUAACCACUAAACCACAGUGUCCCCUAUAACAUAUAACAUAUAAAUUAAAAUAAAA
ensembl:lncRNA